GACACUGCAGCAGCUGCGUGGCUGCAGCUGGCUCCGUCAGUCGUAACUGGUUUUUAACCCAACAUUUCUCUUCAUGUUGUCUGAAAAUGAAACACAGUGAGCAGAGUGCUGUGCAUUCUCCGAAUGUUUAGAAACUGACAGAGAGCAGAGCAACAGGAGCUGCAGGUCACAGAUGACUUUGACCAUCACACAGUCAACAGUCCCUGAAGACUAAUGAACCUAGUAUGUCCUCUGCUGUUUUAAUGAUGCCCACGCCGGGAGGGGAGGUGACGUCCUCAGCCGGGCACACAGUCCAUUAACGUCACUAUAAGAUUCCUGGAUUCUAGUGACUGCCUCCUCUCCUCUAAGUUCCAUGAGGGAGCGCAGCUCCUGGACUGAGCAG